UAAAAAUGCAGGUGUUGUCGUGAGCUUUGUAAAAUACCUGGCUGGCUGAAAAUGAUUUUGAUAUAUUUGACAAUGGGAAGAGAGUCUGCGUGUGGCUGCGGAUCCAAGCACCUCUCUCGAAGGGGGUGGGCGCGAGAAUCGGUGGUAUAUACACAUUUCUGAAUAAGUGUCCCGUAAAGAGACAGUACUAGCUACCAGUAUCUUCCUACCAUGGAGCUGUCAAAAGGAGAUGCGAUGAGACAGUAUGGCCAGAUGCAGCAGAAGAAGUCGAUACUUUUGGUAUGUUUGAGGUGUAUGUUGUCGCCUGUGAACAUUAUUAUCAUCUCCUGGCUUGUAAUAUUAACCUUAUUGGUCUUUCCUUUCUCAUGGAUGUUGGGGAUGCCCAUGGCUGCAUUGAGGUGAUGUCCCAAGAAGCCUUUACAGAAAGUCGAGGGAAGAGUGGCAGCAUCGAUGGCAAAAGGUGCUCAACCCAGAGACGAUGAAAGGGCCAUGGACCAAGGAGGAAGAUGAGAGGGUAUGGCCCCAAACAAUGGUCCAUCAUUGCCAAGCAUCUGCACGGGCGUAUCGGCAAGCAGUGCCGGGAGCGCUGGCACAACCACCUUAACCGGACUCAGGAGGAGGACCAGAUCAUAUACGCUGCUCACAAACAUAUCGGGAACCGCUGGACUGAGGAAUCUAAGCUGCUGUCUGGCAGGAGAGACAACUCUAUUAGAAUCACUGGAACUCCACCACACGUAGGAAGGUGGAGCACGAGGUCUACCUGCAGGAUGUCAUGACACAGAUCGACAAGACCAAGGCUCCCAUCAAGAGAAGGACCAAGUCCUCCUGCUCCUCUAGGGACUCCUGCAGAGCCAGAAUCAUUAUGCCAUGAUUAUCCCCACAAAGGUGAUCACUGAGCACCCAUCUAUGGUUUUUACCAGUCAGCACAAUCAACUAGACUGAACAAUAGCCAAGUGUUUGAAUUGAAAAUCACCAUUGAAAUCAGGAUGAAAUCAAUCCCAAACUGUUUGUUGAUUUUAUGACACUGUUUUUUUGUGUAUGUUUUGGUAGAUUUCAGGAUAUUCCCUUGGCUUGUUGGAUGGCCAGUAUAUGGAAAGUGUUCCUGAAACUGCUUACUUUGUCCCAGUGAGUGUCCCAUCUCUGCACUCACUUAGCUUAGCUUAGCCAUGUUGCAAGUGAACCCCUCCCCUACCACCAUCGUACAGUAGCUCCUAUGUAAUUCAGUAAGAGAGGAAUAAGACUUGUAAAUGAGAAAAUUAGCUGUUUUUCCUUUUCCUGACCAAUCUCUCCUGGGCUGCAUGUACCCCCGGAGUCAUUCACUGACCAAUAAAGAGCAGAGAAUUAAGGAACUCAAGCAGCUCCUUAUGGCAGCUGAGAGCGAAGUCGGGAAUCGGGCAGCUUCCUGUGUAAGACAGAAGAACCCUUGUAUGUGUAGUCAAUAGUGUAGUACGCUCUAGAACACAUCCUUAUCACCCUUCCCACCGGCUCCUCAUCCUCCAUCUUACUCACCUCCGGUUAGCUGCCCCUCCUAGCUGCUACCAUCCUGUCCUUCCCUGCUUCAUACUGUAGUAUCUAGCAGUGAGUCAUCAUUAACAGCUUCUCAUAGUAGCAGUGACUGUUCAUCAUCUGUUUCUGCUCUUGCCAACUCCAUUGCUGUCAUUGUCAAACCAAACAUAAUCUCUGUUAACCUAGAGGUAAAAUCAUGCGUAAUUUGGUCAGCUGCGUGAUUAAUUUCUAAAUUAGAAAUUGAGCAUUCCGGCAAAAAUUCGCAACCCUCGCAAAAGGAAACUCUCAGCCAAAGCCCCCCCUUACCAUCCGUGUGGGCACACGCACAAAGCACUUGAGGCGAAGCAGUUUAAGCACUGCCUUUGGGCCAAUCCUGAUCCCAUUCAGUCCUGGCAGAUUCUUUCGGUCUACUGUACACGCAGAAUCUGCCCAUGGGAGAUUAAGCCAAACAUGACCAUUUUUGUAUUUGUAUUUAUUAUGGAUCCCCAUUUUCUGCUGUCAAAGCAACAGCUACUCUCUUGGCAUGACAGUUGCAUGAGGAGUUGGCAAGGGCAGAAUCAUACUGGCACCCAGGCUAGCUGUUCAAAACACCUGUGAGGCCUCUUUGGAUAGAAGUGGACCUCUAAUGAAAAUCAUGUAGAUUUUCACUUCUGUGCAAAAAUGCACAGUUCAUGUUAAAGUUUUGGAAUGUAACUGAGGCACCUGCUCCUGCUCAUGUCUACCCGUAGUCUCAUUAUAUUUACAUUGGUAAAUGUACUUAUCCUGUUUAGGAACAAGAGUUUUUCCCGGGCAGAUUAUUUCAUCUGGGAAACUCCUGGCCCUCACAUCCCUACAUCCAAGCGUUCAUAGCGACGUCGCUUUUUGAUCCUUUGAUGUGGGCUCCUCCUAUCAUUGUGAAGCAGAAUUCACCAAGCGUUGGAUAGUUCACCCACUAAUAGGGAACGUGAGCUGGGAUUAGACCGUCGUGAGACUGGUUAGUUUUACCCUUUCUGGUUCUAACCUUCGUCUAGCUCUGGUCCAGGGCAUUACGUACGGCUUGCUUACGCUGAGCCUUCAGCAUCAGCAAGCUGCAUGUAACACCCUGGACCAGAGCUAACCUCUCCCUGACCUCUCGCUUGACACUAACUAUAGUACUUGGCAAGAGAGCACAAACAGAUCUGGGACCAAGCUAGCUAAAAGUUACUCAGAUAUAAGUCACUCAGCUAAAAGUCACUCAGAUUAUUUUUACCCAGAUGUAUAAUACUACUAGGCAAUCUUACUGUAGGUAGAAAACAUCAGAUUGCCUACUUCUAUUUUUACACAAACAACCACCUGUAUUUUUUAUUUGUCUGUUUUUGCUUAGAGGUUAAUAGGAAAAUUACAUGACCACAUGUAGCCAAUGAACCAUACUGGUACUUACAUACUGGUGUAACGUCUGCUUCCAACUCACAUUCUAAAACACAUAGAUCCCCUGAACGCAGCUCACUCUCCAGAUCCCA